rnacentral:misc_RNA from 1 species
AACCAUCAAGCACGGCUUGUCGUUGGACUCUUGUCGCUGUAACACGCGGCAAGUCCGAAAGAUAAUGACGGGUGUCGUGUUGGACCCUCGAUGCAACGAGCUCUUUGUAGCACGCAUCGAACGUGGUCUACCGCCCCGGUCUACACGUCUAUUCUCUUCAGGUUGACCUCGGACCAGGUAGGAAUACCCGCUGAACUUAA